GACGAACGCUGGCGGCGUGCUUAACACAUGCAAGUCGAACGGAAAGGCCCUGCUUUUGUGGGGUGCUCGAGUGGCGAACGGGUGAGUAACACGUGAGUAACCUGCCCUUGACUUUGGGAUAACUUCAGGAAACUGGGGCUAAUACCGGAUAGGAGCUCCUGCUGCAUGGUGGGGGUUGGAAAGUUUCGGCGGUUGGGGAUGGACUCGCGGCUUAUCAGCUUGUUGGUGGGGUAGUGGCUUACCAAGGCUUUGACGGGUAGCCGGCCUGAGAGGGUGACCGGCCACAUGGGGACUGAGAUACGGCCCAGACUCCUACGGGAGGCAGCAGUGGGGAAUAUUGCACAAUGGGCGGAAGCCUGGUGCAGCAACGCCGCGUGCGGGAUGACGGCCUUCGGGUUGGAAACCGCUUUCGCCUGUGACGAAGCGUGAGUGACGGUAAUGGGUAAAGAAGCACCGGCUAACUACGUG
rnacentral:rRNA from 1 species